UUCUACGUCCAUACCACCCUGAAUGCCUCCGAUCUCAGAAGCUAAGUAGAGUUGGGCCUGGUUAGUACUUAGAUGGGGGAGCGCCUGGGAAUACCGGGUACUGUAGGCC
rnacentral:rRNA from 1 species